rnacentral:rRNA from 1 species
UUAAGUUAUUAAGGGCGCACGGUGGAUGCCUUGGCACUAGAAGCCGAUGAAGGACGUUACUAACGACGAUAUGCUUUGGGGAGCUGUAAGUAAGCUUUGAUCCAGAGAUUUCCGAAUGGGGAAACCCAGCAUGAGUUAUGUCAUGUUAUCGAUAUGUGAAUACAUAGCAUAUCAGAAGGCACACCCGGAGAACUGAAACAUCUUAGUACCCGGAGGAAGAGAAAGAAAAUUCGAUUCCCUUAGUAGCGGCGAGCGAAACGGGAAGAGCCCAAACCAACAAGCUUGCUUGUUGGGGUUGUAGGACACUCUAUACGGAGUUACAAAGGACGACAUUAGACGAAUCAUCUGGAAAGAUGAAUCAAAGAAGGUAAUAAUCCUGUAGUCGAAAAUGUUGUCUCUCUUGAGUGGAUCCUGAGUACGACGGAGCACGUGAAAUUCCGUCGGAAUCUGGGAGGACCAUCUCCUAAGGCUAAAUACUCUCUAGUGACCGAUAGUGAACCAGUACCGUGAGGGAAAGGUGAAAAGCACCCCGGAAGGGGAGUGAAAUAGAACCUGAAACCGUGUGCUUACAAGUAGUCAGAGCCCGUUAAUGGGUGAUGGCGUGCCUUUUGUAGAAUGAACCGGCGAGUUACGAUUUGAUGCAAGGUUAAGCAGUAAAUGUGGAGCCGUAGCGAAAGCGAGUCUGAAUAGGGCGUUUAGUAUUUGGUCGUAGACCCGAAACCAGGUGAUCUACCCUUGGUCAGGUUGAAGUUCAGGUAACACUGAAUGGAGGACCGAACCGACUUACGUUGAAAAGUGAGCGGAUGAACUGAGGGUAGCGGAGAAAUUCCAAUCGAACCUGGAGAUAGCUGGUUCUCUCCGAAAUAGCUUUAGGGCUAGCCUCAAGUGAUGAUUAUUGGAGGUAGAGCACUGUUUGGACGAGGGGCCCCUCUCGGGUUACCGAAUUCAGACAAACUCCGAAUGCCAAUUAAUUUAACUUGGGAGUCAGAACAUGGGUGAUAAGGUCCGUGUUCGAAAGGGAAACAGCCCAGACCACCAGCUAAGGUCCCAAAAUAUAUGUUAAGUGGAAAAGGAUGUGGCGUUGCCCAGACAACUAGGAUGUUGGCUUAGAAGCAGCCAUCAUUUAAAGAGUGCGUAAUAGCUCACUAGUCGAGUGACACUGCGCCGAAAAUGUACCGGGGCUAAACAUAUUACCGAAGCUGUGGAUUGUCCUUUGGACAAUGGUAGGAGAGCGUUCUAAGGGCGUUGAAGCAUGAUCGUAAGGACAUGUGGAGCGCUUAGAAGUGAGAAUGCCGGUGUGAGUAGCGAAAGACGGGUGAGAAUCCCGUCCACCGAUUGACUAAGGUUUCCAGAGGAAGGCUCGUCCGCUCUGGGUUAGUCGGGUCCUAAGCUGAGGCCGACAGGCGUAGGCGAUGGAUAACAGGUUGAUAUUCCUGUACCACCUAUAAUCGUUUUAAUCGAUGGGGGGACGCAGUAGGAUAGGCGAAGCGUGCGAUUGGAUUGCACGUCUAAGCAGUAAGGCUGAGUAUUAGGCAAAUCCGGUACUCGUUAAGGCUGAGCUGUGAUGGGGAGAAGACAUUGUGUCUUCGAGUCGUUGAUUUCACACUGCCGAGAAAAGCCUCUAGAUAGAAAAUAGGUGCCCGUACCGCAAACCGACACAGGUAGUCAAGAUGAGAAUUCUAAGGUGAGCGAGCGAACUCUCGUUAAGGAACUCGGCAAAAUGACCCCGUAACUUCGGGAGAAGGGGUGCUCUUUAGGGUUAACGCCCAGAAGAGCCGCAGUGAAUAGGCCCAAGCGACUGUUUAUCAAAAACACAGGUCUCUGCUAAACCGUAAGGUGAUGUAUAGGGGCUGACGCCUGCCCGGUGCUGGAAGGUUAAGAGGAGUGGUUAGCUUCUGCGAAGCUACGAAUCGAAGCCCCAGUAAACGGCGGCCGUAACUAUAACGGUCCUAAGGUAGCGAAAUUCCUUGUCGGGUAAGUUCCGACCCGCACGAAAGGCGUAACGAUUUGGGCACUGUCUCAACGAGAGACUCGGUGAAAUCAUAGUACCUGUGAAGAUGCAGGUUACCCGCGACAGGACGGAAAGACCCCGUGGAGCUUUACUGUAGCCUGAUAUUGAAAUUCGGCACAGCUUGUACAGGAUAGGUAGGAGCCUUUGAAACGUGAGCGCUAGCUUACGUGGAGGCGCUGGUGGGAUACUACCCUAGCUGUGUUGGCUUUCUAACCCGCACCACUUAUCGUGGUGGGAGACAGUGUCAGGCGGGCAGUUUGACUGGGGCGGUCGCCUCCUAAAAGGUAACGGAGGCGCUCAAAGGUUCCCUCAGAAUGGUUGGAAAUCAUUCAUAGAGUGUAAAGGCAUAAGGGAGCUUGACUGCGAGACCUACAAGUCGAGCAGGGUCGAAAGACGGACUUAGUGAUCCGGUGGUUCCGCAUGGAAGGGCCAUCGCUCAACGGAUAAAAGCUACCCCGGGGAUAACAGGCUUAUCUCCCCCAAGAGUUCACAUCGACGGGGAGGUUUGGCACCUCGAUGUCGGCUCAUCGCAUCCUGGGGCUGUAGUCGGUCCCAAGGGUUGGGCUGUUCGCCCAUUAAAGCGGUACGCGAGCUGGGUUCAGAACGUCGUGAGACAGUUCGGUCCCUAUCCGUCGUGGGCGUAGGAAAUUUGAGAGGAGCUGUCCUUAGUACGAGAGGACCGGGAUGGACAUACCUCUGGUGUACCAGUUGUCGUGCCAACGGCAUAGCUGGGUAGCUAUGUGUGGACGGGAUAAGUGCUGAAAGCAUCUAAGCAUGAAGCCCCCCUCAAGAUGAGAUUUCCCAACUUCGGUUAUAAGAUCCCUCAAAGAUGAUGAGGUUAAUAGGUUCGAGGUGGAAGCAUGGUGACAUGUGGAGCUGACGAAUACUAAUCGAUCGAAGACUUAAUCAAA